rnacentral:rRNA from 1 species
UGGCUCAGGACGAACGCUGGCGGCGUGCUUAACACAUGCAAGUCGAACGGGAGUAUUGAAGAAGCUUGCUUAGAGAUACUUAGUGGCGGACGGGUGAGUAACGCGUGAGGAGCUGUCCUAUGCAGGGGGACAACAGCUGGAAACGGCUGCUAAUACCCCAUAAGCCGAGAGGUAAAAGGAUCAAUCCGGCAGAGGAGGUACUCGCGUCCUAUCAGCUAGUAGGUGAGGUAACGGCUCACCUAGGCGAAGACAGGUAGCCGGCCUGAGAGGGCGAACGGCCACACUGGAACUGAGAUACGGUCCAGACUCCUACGGGAGGCAGCAGUGGGGAAUAUUGGGCAAUGGGGGGAAAAACCCCCUGACCCAGCGACGCCGCGUGGGUGAAGAAAUCCUUCGGGAUGUAAAGCCCUGUUGUAUGGGAAGAGCGGAAGACGGUACCAUACGAGGAAGCCCCGGCAAACUACGUGCCAGCCGCCGC